AUUGAACGCUGGCGGCAUGCCAUACACAUGCAAGUCGAACGGCAGCACGGAGCUUGCUCUGGUGGCGAGUGGCGAACGGGUGAGUAAUAUAUCGGAACGUACCCAAGAGUGGGGGAUAACGUAGCGAAAGUUACGCUAAUACCGCAUACGACCUAAGGAUGAAAGCAGGGGACCGCAAGGCCUUGUGCUCCUGGAGCGGCCGAUAUCUGAUUAGCUAGUUGGUGAGGUAAAGGCUCACCAAGGCAUCGAUCAGUAGCUGGUCUGAGAGGACGACCAGCCACACUGGAACUGAGACUCGGUCCAGACUCCUACGGGAGGCAGCAGUUGGGAAUUUUGGACAAUGGGGGCAACCCUGAUCCAGCAAUGCCGCGUGGGUGAAGAAGGCCUUCUGGUUGUAAAGCCCUUUUGUCCGGAACGAAAAGCGAUCGGUUAAUACCCGGUCGUGCUGACGGUACCGGAAGAAUAAGCACCGGCUAACUUCGCGCCAGCCGCCGCUGUAAAAC
rnacentral:rRNA from 1 species